rnacentral:rRNA from 1 species
CUGACUGUGCAAAGGUAGCAUAAUCAGUUGGCUUUUAAUUUGAGUCUGGUAUGAAUGAAAAUAUGGGUAGUAACUGUCUUAACACAUUUAUUUGAAAUUAUUAAACAAGUGCAAAUGCUUGUAGCAAAACAAUAGACGAGAAGACCCUAGAAACUUGCGUUCAGUUUUGUUGGGGCGACAGAGUUACAUUUAACUAACUUUAUAAUACAUGGUAUGAGGUUGUAAGAAUAAGUUACUCUAGGGAUAACAGCAUAAUUUUACUAGUUUGUGACCUCGAUGUUGGACUAGGUACUAUACCCUUAAGGCAGGGGUAU